CACUCCUGCGGGAGGCAGCAGUGGGGAAUUUUGGACAAUGGGCGAAAGCCUGAUCCAGCCAUGCCGCGUGCAGGAUGAAGGCCUUCGGGUUGUAAACUGCUUUUGUACGGAACGAAACGGCCUUUUCUAAUAAAGAGGGCUAAUGACGGUACCGUAAGAAUAAGCACCGGCUAACUACGUGCCAGCAGCCGCGGUAAUACGUAGGGUGCAAGCGUUAAUCGGCAUUACUGGGCGUAAAGCGUGCGCAGGCGGUUAUGUAAGACAGGUGUGAAAUCCCCGGGCUCAACCUGGGAACUGCAUCUGUGACUGCAUAGCUAGAGUACGGUAGAGGGGGAUGGAAUUCCGCGUGUAGCAGUGAAAUGCGUAGAUAUGCGGAGGAACACCGAUGGCGAAGGCAAUCCCCUGGACCUGUACUGACGCUCAUGCACGAAAGCGUGGGGAGCAAACAGGAUUAGAUACCCCAGUAGUCCC
rnacentral:rRNA from 1 species